rnacentral:sRNA from 1 species
GCCAGGCACGGUGGCACAUGCCUGUAAUCCCAGCAGCUCAGGAGGCUGAGACAGGAGGAUCAUGAGUUCAAAGCCAGCCUCAGCAACUUAGCUAGGCACUAAGCCACUCAGUGAGAUGCUGUCUCUA